UAAACGGACCAUCGAGUAUCCAUUGGAGGGCAAGUCUGGUGCCAGCAGCUGCGGUAAUACCAGCUGCAAUAGCGUAUAUUAAAGUUGUUGCAGUUAAAAAGCUCGUAGUUGGACUUGUGUGCGCUGUCCGCGGGUGGCCUGCGCCCAAAAGGGCGUUUCGGUUCGGCCCCGGUGGCGCCUUGAAAUCUGCAGCUGGGGGGACGUUGGCCUUAACUGGUCGGCGACCGCACGCCGGCUGCUCGGUUACUGUGAGAAAAUUAGAGUGUUCAAGGCAGGCAUUGGGUGCAAUUGAAUACAUUAGCAUGGAAUAAUAAAAUAUGGCUCCUGCCGUAUUUUGUUGGUUUUGACUGGUGGGAGUAAUGAUUGAUAGGGACGGUUGGGGGUGCUAGUAUUGAGCGGCCAGAGGUGAAAUUCAUGGAUUCGCUCAAGACUAACUUAUGCGAAAGCAUUCACCAAGGACGUCCUCUUUAAUCAAGAACGAAAGUUGGGGGAUCGAAGACGAUCAGAUACCGUCGUAGUCUCAACCAUAAACUAUGUCGACUUGGGAUCGGCGGUAGUUUUUUCAUUAAGACACUGUCGGGACCACGGGAGAAAUCAAAGUGUCUGGACUCUGGGGGAAGUAUGGUCGCAAGGCUGAAACUUGAAGGAAUUGACGGAAGGGCACCACCAGGAGUGGAGCCUGCGGCUUAAUUUGACCCAACACGGGGAAACUUACCAGGUCCAGAGAUGUAGAGGAUUGACAGAUUGAAGCUCUUUCUUGAUCACUUCGGUGGUGGUGCAUGGCCGUUCUUAGUUGGUGGAGUGAUUUGUCUGGUUAAUUCCGUUAACAAACGAGACCUCAGCCUGCUAGUGUAGUCGGCUGGAUUGCCUUUGGCGAUCCGUGAUUUCGACUUCUUAGAGGGACAAUCGACGCGCAGUCGAUGGAAGUUUGAGGCAAUAACAGGUCUGUGAUGCCCUUAGAUGUUCUGGGCCGCACGCGCGCUACACUGCUGGGCUCAGCGAGUUUUACUUGGCCGAGAGGCCCGGUUAAUCUUGUGAAAUCCCAGCGUGCUUGGGCUCGCCUCCUGCAACUGGAGGCGCCAACGAGGAAUUCCUAGUAGACGCAGGUCAUCAACCUGCAUCGAUUACGUCCCUGCCCUUUGUACACACCGCCCGUCGUUCCAUAAGAGUGAGGCAUCCGGUGAAUUCUCGGGAGAGCCUGGGCGUGGCCAGCAAUGGUCUGCUCGGGUUUGAACUUGCAUAAACUUGGUGCCUAUGAUUAGGG
rnacentral:rRNA from 1 species